rnacentral:rRNA from 1 species
AACGAACGCUGGCGGCAUGCCUAACACAUGCAAGUCGAACGAUGCCUUCGGGUAUAGUGGCGCACGGGUGCGUAACGCGUGGGAAUCUGCCUUUCGGUUCGGAAUAACUCAGGGAAACUUGUGCUAAUACCGGAUAAUGUCGCAAGACCAAAGAUUUAUCACCGUAAGAUGAGCCCGCGUAGGAUUAGCUAGUUGGUGGGGUAAAGGCUCACCAAGGCGACGAUCCUUAGCUGGUCUGAGAGGAUGAUCAGCCACACUGGGACUGAGACACGGCCCAGACUCCUACGGGAGGCAGCAGUGGGGAAUAUUGGACAAUGGGCGAAAGCCUGAUCCAGCAAUGCCGCGUGAGUGAUGAAGGCCUUAGGGUUGUAAAGCUCUUUUACCCGGGAAGAUAAUGACGGUACCGGGAGAAUAAGCCCCGGCUAACUCCGUG